GUCGCUGUACUAGGUCGUCCGGAAAUUCUUAGCCGAUAUAUACUUUAUGUAUGAUUUGGUGAGUUGAAGUUUCUAUGUAUCUCCAGUAACGUCAGUGUUGAAGCCCUUGUAACAGAAUCCGCAGCUGUCCGUCAGGACCGGAGCCCGCCUCCAGAGUGACCUUCCUCAGCGGACACGCCCCGUCCACCUGUUCCACAGGUGCGCUCGGCAAGAUGGCGGCGGGACGAGCUGGGGCGGCUCGAGGACGCCGAAAUGAGUGUUCUGUCCGUUUGGGCGUGCUCUCGAAGUUUGAAAAGUGCCAAAAGGAUUUCAAGAACGGGAUACCAGUUAUGAAAAAGUGUUUUUUAACGGUAAAUUUUAUUCCUA